GACGAAGGGGGCUAGCGUUGUUCGGAAUUACUGGGCGUAAAGCGCGUGUAGGCGGUUUUCCAAGUUGGAUGUGAAAGCCUUGAGCUCAACUCAAGAAAUGCAUUCAGGUCUGGAUGACUAGAGGACCGGAGAGGAUAGUGGAAUUCCCAGUGUAGUGGUGAAAUACGUAGAGAUUGGGAAGAACACCAGUGGCGAAGGCGGCUAUCUGGACGGUUUCUGACGCUAAGACGCGAAAGCGUGGGGAGCAAACAGG
rnacentral:rRNA from 1 species